GUUUGAGGGGGCGUAAAAACAAAGGAAACAAUUUUUUUUUUUUUUAAAUUGUUGUUGGGUUUAAAUUUUUGAGUUUUUUUAAUUCAAUGGACCUUAUAUAGGUAUGAUAAUAAUCGGCAGACCAGACAGUGAGAGUAACCUUCUUAGUUGAGUCUCCUAAGUUUUAUCUCUCAUUUUUUCUCAUUUGAAGGUUUAUAUAUAAGGCUUGGUCUUAGUCUUCUGCCUUGUGUGGCGGUCUCCUUCUUCCCAUCCGGGUGGAGGGAGGCUGCCUUCCCCCUCCCUAGUCAAUGGAUUUCCCUUCUUACCGGCAAAGAGAGUUAUAAAUAAUUUUGAUGAUUUUUGACAUGCAAGGGAAGAUUUUGUAGAUCUGCUCAAUUGUGAGGUCUAGAGCUUCAUUGCUUUUUGCGUAGGUGUGGUUGCUUUUUCUCCAAUCUAGCAUGGAACCAGUAGUCUAGUGUGGCAACUUGUGGGGUGCAGUAUAGUAGAUCAGCCUAGCAAGUGCGAAUGGGACACUAAAGAGGCCCAUCGCCAAUGGUCCUUGCUUGCUGGAUUGUUGAUGCAAAACUUCUGGGGAGCUUGCCUCCUGGGCUUGGGGUUAUGUCAACUACUUAUUUUCCUUAAAGCUUGUGAAAGUAAUGUGAUAGCAACAAUCUUUUGAAUUUCAGUGGUGGUUUUAUGUCA